rnacentral:rRNA from 1 species
AAAACUGACUGCUUAUUGCACCACAUGUGUUUUUCUUUGAAACAAACUUGCUUUGGCGGUGGGCCCAGCCUGCCGCCAGAGGUCUAAACUUACAACCAAUUUUUUAUCAACUUGUCACACCAGAUUAUUACUAAUAGUCAAAACUUUCAACAACGGAUCUCUUGGUUCUCGCAUCGAUGAAGAACGCAGCGAAAUGCGAUACGUAAUAUGAAUUGCAGAUAUUCGUGAAUCAUCGAAUCUUUGAACGCACAUUGCGCCCUCUGGUAUUCCGGAGGGCAUGCCUGUUUGAGCGUCGUUUCUCCCUCAAACCGCUGGGUUUGGUGUUGAGCAAUACGACUUGGGUUUGCUUGAAAGACGGUAGUGGUAAGGCGGGAUCGCUUUGACAAUGGCUUAGGUCUAACCAAAAACAUUGCUUGCGGCGGUAACGUCCACCACGUAUAUCUUCAAACUUUGACCUCAAAUCAGGUAGGACUACCCGCUGAACUUAAGCAUAUCAAAAGCGGGAGGAA